GUUUCAAGUCUAGUAAAUCUUUUUUACAAUAAAUCAUUAAAUAAAUAAUUAAAUUGAACAAAAGUUACUAAUGCAAAGAAAAAUAAUCUAAAAAGAAAAGAAGAACCUGAGAGAGCAAGUGCUAAAGAGAAAAGAAAAUAAAAGAUUCAAAUAAUAAAACAAAAAGUCAUUUGUGUUUAUGAGAGAGCAUUUGUGUUGCAAAUGUAUUUUUGUGUGCUAAUGUGUCUAUAAAAUCCGAUUUAUACCGUUACAAAGUAGCAUUUCAUGCCUUUUGAAAAUAGACCAAUUCUCACACCUUAUUAUUUUUUUCUUCAAUUGUUAUCUAGGUGAGAUACGUUCAUUGUCUUUCUUUUAACCUUCAUGUAACUAUUCAAAAAAAAAAAAAACUCUUUUUAGAACUUCUUUUUUAAUUUCUUUGUCAUUAGUGAAAUUAUUAACAAGUAAAAUUAAUUGAUAAUCACCAAAAUCCAUCAAUAAGUCAAAAUUACCAAUGAUCCAAAAUUAGUUAAUAAAAUAUUUAUCGAUAAAUUUUAUCGACUAAUUUUAAUUAUUGACAAUAAAGAAAUAGUUAGUAAUUAUUAACAAUCAAAAUUUGAUUGGUAAAUAUUUGUAAGCAAUUGUCUUUGAAUCUUGGCUAUCGAUAAAAUUCAUUGUUAAAUAUAGCUAUUUGAUUGUUUUCUUCCUCCUUCUUUUUUAUUUCUUUUCUUCUUCUUCCUCUACAUCUAAUGUAUAGUUGUUGUUAUUUUUGUUGUCAAAACCAUCAUCGACAUGUUUACCAUCACUGUCACUAUCGGUUCUUCCUCAUCCUUCUCUUCUUCUGCCACCUCAUCUUUCUCUUCCUGUUACUUCUCUAUUGUUGGUUGUCGUUUUACGAUUACUAUCGUCACUUCCACAAUUGUCAUCACUAUUGUUGUCAUCGUCACCUCUGCAAUUGCCUCCACCACCAUUUUCUUCUCCUUUUGCCCCUUCUCUUCCUCCUUCUUAGAUUUUCCAUUUUCACUUCUUCUUUCACUCAAUCCUAAUUAAUUUAUAACAAAUAUUUUUUAGACUUAGAAAGAAAAUUAGUGUCCAUUUUGUCGACG
rnacentral:lncRNA from 1 species